AUGCCGGCAGGCCUGCGGACAAGGACGGAGUCAGCCUCUUCCGGGGGUCUCACGGCACAACGCUGGAGCCCCUUGCAGGAAGCAGGACGCUCCAGUGGUGACGCUGCCGGGGAGCCCUGGCAGCACCUGGACCCUGGGCUGCCGCAGCGGCUGCUGGAGGAGAAGGAGCGGGUGCUGGCAGUCCUGCGGGAGACCGUCAAGGUUCUGCAGAUGAAGGUGGCCAGGCUGGAGCACCCGGUGAAACUAAAGGACCAGCGGGUCAGAGCGCUCACGCGACAGGGGGACCAGCCCCAGGGAGGGGGCACCCGGGGCCAGAAGGGCCCCCUCCCCUGUCCACCAGACUCCGACCUCGAGCCCACUUGGAAAUCCCCUAGACUGGGUGUUUCUGGGUGUGGCAACGCACUGUCCAUCAGACGUGGAGCAACCGAGGAGGACCCGAGCCAGCGUGUCCACAAGCAGAAGCCUGGCCCCUCCUGACUGCACAUCCCGGGUGCCCAGCCGAUGUGGCCUGAGGUUCCCCUGCUGCCCCCCACCCCCCCGCCUCCUCCCCACCAAGAAGACCAGUUUGGACAUGAAGAUGGGUCUGGUUCCCUGGAGCCCCUGAGCGUCCUAGCGUCACUGUGAACGUGGAGCAUCUGCAGGCAGUUGUGUGCUGAGGGCGGUGGGGUGGGGGCAGCGUCUCGAGUCAGCCAACCUGCUGUCCCGGGGGCCCCGUGGAAACAGCUCGCGGGAGGUUGUGCUCCCUGAAGGGUGCCUGUGGGGACCUCACAGUGGUCACCCGACAUGGCCAGUCACCCCUCCUUGCUCUGGAGGUUUUGGGGGUCAGAGCAGUGCCAGGACGGGCUCCCCCCAGUGUAUGUGGGGCCCUGGCCCUGGGUGGGGCCAUCAGGGUGGGGGCCAGGGAGUCCUGAGAUGCCGAGGUUGGGGGCAAGGGGCUGUGUCCUAUCUGUCCUGUGUCCUGGCACUUGCACCUUCCUGCUCCAGCAUCCAGGGUACUCCCUCCCCACCCCGCCCCCAACAACUGACUCACUGUCCCCCCUUCCCCGUAUACACUCACACGCCCCGGGGCCCCUGCAGGGUUUCAGGAAGCAGCGUCAGAGCAGAAACCUCCAUCGGUUUCAGAGCUGCUCUGAGUCAGCCCACGUCCUCCCUGAGUCAGACGUGCAGCCCUGACCCCACAGCACAGAUCUGGCCCCCAGGCUUGGAGGGACCCGGGGUUUGAGGCGGAGGGUCUGCUUCCCCAGGAGGGGCCGUGGAGGCUGGUUAGGGGGGUCGCCCAGGAGGGGCCAUCUCUCAGAUUUCUCCUGGGCACAACCUCGCCCCUGGAGAGAAGCCCAGGAUGUGUCUGGGGGCAGGUCCAGGCUGCCCGCUGUGGGAUCCAGGCUGCAAGCAGCCCCCGCCGCUCCAGCAUCAGGAGCCACAGAGGGAGAUGGGCUCCACAGCCCAGAGCUCGAAGUGUCUCGGGUCCAGGGGCUGGAGCGGGCUCAACAGGGCACAAGGCCGGGGGGCCUGUGGAGGACCAUGCCCCCCACCCUGCCAGCUGAAGGCUCCGUGCCACCCGCAGGGACAGGAACGCAGAGGAGCAGCCAGGGUGGGGGUCAGGCACAGGGCACACUGAUUCAGCCUGGCCGGUGGCCAGGUGGCUGUGUGCUGGACGGUGGGUUAUGGGCAGAGCUGGCCAGGCCUGGGCCCUGGGGAGACGCAGAGGCAGGCUGUCCCUGGAAGAACAUGAGGUGAGGCUGCUCUGUGGCCACCCGCUGACCCGAGCUGCCUGUGCCAUCCGCUCACUGCUGCUGGCCAGGGGCAGCUGUCUGCUGUUAGAGGCCUGGUGAACUCACUGUGAGCUCACCCCAGCUUUCCCCUUGAACGGUGGGUGCAGAGACAGCCCCUGGGGGUUAAUGAUGUUGAAGUCAGGCUGCCCUGCCCCUCCCGCAACCAGGACGCAGACACCAGGGCCUGUUAGGUGUCUGCCUCCACGGGUGUGGGUGGACACCCGGCGCCCGGCGAGUCAUCUGGCAGAUCUUUUUGCACCCGUUAUUUCAUGAUUUUAAAACAUUUUUAGGGGAGACCCUUGGAGGUGCAGAGGUGUGAAUGAUAGCCUGCAGGCCCACAGGGACGCCCCCUGCCCAGGGUGGGCAGAGGCAGCCUGCCCCUGGGCCUCCCCAGUCUCCUCCGCGAAACGCGGCCGCCGCUGCCGUAGAGGUGCUGAGGAGGCCACGCCCUCACUACCCCUGAGGCCCCCAGGCUGGUCCAAGGACGGCCCCGUGUGGCCAGGGCAGGAAUCACGCCCUCCUGAGUGAGUGAACUCCGCGAGUUGGUGAUGGACAGGGAGGCCUGGCGUGCUGCGAUUCACGGGGUGGCAAAGAGUCGGACACGACUGAGCGACUGAACUGACCCUCCUUAAAAAUGGCAAGAGGCUGUGAUGCGGGGCUGGAGCCCUGGUGACCUUCCUGCCGCAGAGGACUGGAGGGCUCUAUGCUAAUUCCCGUGUCAGCCAGAAGCCCUCCAGGCCUCCACCCACCUGAACGCAGGUGAGCGGUGUGGACUGCACCACGGAGCCCACAGUGUAGACAGAAACGCCAGUGGCCUCCAGGCCUGUGGGAGCUCCUGGCCUCCCCCCGCUGCCCCCAUGAUGCCCUCCCCAGCUUGGCACGUCUGUUUCCGUGAUUUCUGAAGCAACUGAUCCGGCCUUUCCUUCCCAGAUGGGUUUCGAGUGAGUGCCACCGACGCUGGGGAGAUGCUGGCCAUGGCGAGCUGGACGUGCUGCUGUGGACGCGGCUGGGGGCGGGGGGCGCCCACGGGGCUGCUACAGAGGAAGGUCCUCCCGACGGGGUGGGCGGUGCUGGGGCCGCGACCUUCCCGGAAGCCCCGCCCUGCCCACGUGGCACGCCGCAGUCCAGCUGGAAGGGGGGCCUGGGGCGAGGGACCGCGCCCCUGAAACAGCCGGGAGGUGGGAUGAGAACAGGCGGACGUGUGGGAGGAGGGCCCUUGGGAGCCCAGCAAGGCUGACUUCUGAGCAAAGGCGUGAAGAAAGCGAGAGGCUGCAGCUCAGAUGCGGCGCAGCGGGGCAGAGGCCCGGCACGGGCGGCGCACGAGGCGUCGGGGGUGGCGGGGUGCGAGGCUGAGGCUGCGAAGAUCGGGGCUGCAGCGCCUCUGAGGCGGCCCGAGCUCCUGGGCAUUGCUGAUGCCUCAACGGCUAGGGCUCCAGAAGGCAGGGGCGCGGGUGCUUGACCACAGGGCCAUAGAGCCAUCCUGGAGGGUGGGGUGGGGGUGGACCCCGGGCUUCCCGCUCCCGGGCUUCAAGGCUGAGAGCGAGCCAGGCCGCGUUUCUACUCCGCAAGGUGCAGCAGCGGGGCCUGAUGAUGUGGAUGUAUUGAGUGUUCUCUGACACGUGAGAAGCACCUUUCCAGAGGAAAAACACCCUAGCUGCACAAAAUGUGUGAGAAGUGAACUAGUGACAGCUUGCAUGAAACCAUUGCAAAUUGUAAGGUAAUUAUUCUCCAAAUAAAAAGUAUAUUGAAAAACUGACCUAGAGGUUC
rnacentral:lncRNA from 1 species